rnacentral:rRNA from 1 species
GGUGUGGGACUCAUUCCACGAGUUCCGUGCCGCAGCUAACGCAUUAAGCGCCCCGCCUGGGGAGUACGGCCGCAAGGCUAAAACUCAAAGGAAUUGACGGGGGCCCGCACAAGCGGCGGAGCAUGCGGAUUAAUUCGAUGCAACGCGAAGAACCUUACCAAGGCUUGACAUAUACCGGAAACACCUAGAGAUAGGUGCCCCUUUUGGUCGGUAUACAGGUGGUGCAUGGUUGUCGUCAGCUCGUGUCGUGAGAUGUUGGGUUAAGUCCCGCAACGAGCGCAACCCUCGUUCUAUGUUGCCAGCGCGUUAUGGCGGGGACUCAUAGAAGACUGCCGGGGUCAACUCGGAGGAAGGUGGGGAUGACGUCAAGUCAUCAUGCCCCUUAUGUCCAGGGCUUCACGCAUGCUACAAUGGCCGGUACAAAGGGCUGCGAUGCCGUAAGGUGGAGCGAAUCCCAAAAAGCCGGUCUCAGUUCGGAUUGGGGUCUGCAACUCGACCCCAUGAAGUCGGAGUCGCUAGUAAUCGCAGAUCAGCAACGCUGCGGUGAAUACGUUCCCGGGCCUUGUACACACCGCCCGUCACGUCACGAAAGUCGGCAACACCCGAAGCCGGUGGCCCAACCCCUUGUGGGAGGGAGCCGUCGAAGGUGGGCUG